AUUGAACGCUGGCGGCAUGCCUUACACAUGCAAGUCGAACGGCAGCACGGGUGCUUGCACCCGGUGGCGAGUGGCGAACGGGUGAGUAAUACAUCGGAACGUACCUUAUCGUGGGGGAUAACGCAGCGAAAGCUGUGCUAAUACCGCAUACGCCCUGAGGGGGAAAGCGGGGGAUCGAAAGACCUCGCGCGAUUAGAGCGGCCGAUGCCUGAUUAGCUUGUUGGUGGGGUAAAAGCCCACCAAGGCGACGAUCAGUAGCUGGUCUGAGAGGACGAUCAGCCACACUGGGACUGAGACACGGGCCAGACUCCUACGGGAGGCAGCAGUGGGGAAUUUUGGACAAUGGGGGCAACCCUGAUCCAGCAAUGCCGCGUGAGUGAAGAAGGCCUUCGGGUUGUAAAGCUCUUUUGUCAGGGAAGAAACACCGGCUCUAACACAGUCCGGGAAUGACGGUACCUGAAGAAUAAGCACCGGCUAACUACGUGCCAGCCGCCGCCGUAA
rnacentral:rRNA from 1 species